GUCUACGGCCAUACCACCGUGAACACGCCCGAUCUCGUCUCUCAGAAGCUAAGCAGGGUCGGGGCCUGGUUAGUACUUGGAAGGAAGAGAGUGCAAUUAAAUUUUAACU
rnacentral:rRNA from 1 species